rnacentral:tRNA from 1 species
UGCUCGUGUGGCUCAAUGGAUAGAGCACCAGACUUCUAAUCUGGGGGUUGUGGGUUCGAGUCCCACCACGAGUG